UUUUUGUGUAUGACAUUACACAUUACAUACUAGUGCUUUGCACCCCUUAUCGUCUUGUUUCCAGUGCAGUGAGUGGGUAUGGAGCUUCAGUUUGCUUGCCCUGCUAAGCUAUGCUGCUCAUCCACCUUUGUCUCAUCCUAUUUGAUGAAAGAAGAUGUUAAACCACGAGCUUUGAUUAUCAGAUCAUCGACUAGUACUUCACAAGGGCUCCAGAAAUGUUCAAAGAAAAACCUUUCUCGUAUACUUAGAACAGAAGCCGCUAUUAGAGAUAUCGAGAGGAAAGCGAACUCAGAAAAGUACACUAACCUUUGGCCCAAGGCGGUUUUGGAGGCUCUCGAUGAUGCUAUUAGGGAUAAUCGCUGGGACUCGGCUCUUAAGAUUUUCGACCUUCUUCGCAAGCAACAUUGGUAUGAGCCAAGAUGCCAUACAUAUGCUAAGCUUUUGGUAAUGCUCGGCAAGUGCAAGCAGCCAAAUCAAGCUAACUUGCUUUUUGAGAUUAUGCUAGCAGAUGGGCUUCAACCAACAGUAGAUGUUUAUACUGCACUUGUAAGUGCAUAUGGUCUUAGUGGCCUCCUUGAUGAGGCACUGCGAACCAUUGAUGAUAUGAAAUCAGUUAGUAAUUGCAAGCCUGAUGUGUAUACUUACUCGAUUCUUAUUAAGUGCUGCACUAAAGUUCGUCGUUUUGAUAUGAUUGAAUACAUUUUGGCCGAGAUGGUGUAUUUGGGAAUUGAAUGUAGUUCUGUGACAUACAAUACCAUAAUUAAUGGCUAUGGUAAAGCUAAGAUGUUUGAGCUGAUGGAAAGCUCCUUGACCGAUAUGAUCGAAAGUGAGACUGCCUUUCCUGAUGUUUUCACCUUAAAUUCAGUAAUUGGGUCCUAUGGCAGCUGUUUGAAACUUGAGAAAAUGGAGAAGUGGUUUGAAGAAUUUCAGGUAAUGGGAAUAAAGCCAGAUGUUAUGACAUUUAACAUUCUAAUCAAGUCAUAUGGAGGAGCUGGCAUGUAUCAGAAAAUGGAGUCUGUACUUGAUUUUAUGAGGAAUCGGUUCUAUUCUCCAACAGUUGUGACUUACAAUAUCAUCAUUGAGACAUUGGGGAAGGCUGGCCUCAUUAAGAACAUGGAACAGUUUUUCCUACAGAUGAAGCACGAGGGGGUGAAGCCAACUUCAUUCACUUAUUGCUCUCUUGUCAGUGCUUAUAGUAGAGCUGGACUUCUGGACAAUGUGGAUUCAAUCAUGAGGCAAGUAGAGAAUUCGGAUGUUGUUCUAGAUACUCCUUUUUUCAAUUGCAUCAUCAGUGCUUAUGGUCAAGCUGGUGAUAUAGAGAGGAUGGUGGCAUUGUUCUUGGAAAUGAAGGCCAGAAAAUGUAAACCAGACUACAUCACUUUUUCUACCAUGAUCCAGGUGUACAAUUCACAAGGGAUGAUCGAAGAUGCAAAUGACUUGAAGACUAAAAUAAUUACUUCUUGUGAAUCAAAUGAACUGAUCAGCAGCUAGUACAAUCUAUCUGCUACCGAAGGAAACUGUUCACUUGGAAUUCUGUUCAUCAAUGUCAAUUUUGUGAAAGUGGGCAGACUGGUAUCUGCAUGUGAGUUUGUAAGUGUGAAGGUCUAUUUUCUCUUGUUCACUGGCUCUGAGAACCCAUCUUUAGUCAUUAAAUGGCCUAAAACUGAAAGGCUUUCAAGCAGUCAAAGUGGUGAGCCAAAGUAGAAGGGGCUUCAUGAACUCACACAUCUUUCUUUUGGUUUGUAAGACCGAAGAGUUAACUUAUUUUAAAAUACAAAUUAAGUUUCUCUAACCCCCCCCCCCCCCACACACACACACACGCAGAGAGAAAAAAAAGGGAACUAGUAUCUCAAUUGAUGCCCUGACAGAGAUCCUUUAUUAGCUAUCUAUUAAAAUGCAUGCAUUUGCCAGAAGAUAACUUUAAUGUUUUCAGAAUAGAUUCAUGUCACCUGCUUGCCUAUUAUGAAUGCAUUGGGUGGAACAAAUCCACCGGGAGCUGUCCUCCAUCUGUUUUUAACUGUUUUUGAUACAUCCUCUCUUUUUGUUUUUGGAUGUGAAAUAUUGUCGCUCCUGCGAAUUCUCUCUCUCUAUACAUAUCUAUUUAGUUACUUACUGAGAAAUGACAUAUCUAUUUGAGUUGGGGUACUUCAUCAUAACAAUGAUAUCUGUUUGUGUAGAAGGAUGAUAUAACGAUAUGUAACUCAGAUGGCAUGGAUCCAAGGAGAAGAACAUAGUAAGAGAGGAAGCAGUUAAAGUUCUGUUGUUUACUAUGUUCAUGAAACAGCCAAACUGUGCUGUGCUGUCUGAAGUGCAACAUCUGGAUUCAUCUUCAGUUGAAAACCUCAGCGAUGCUUAGGUGAAUGAAGAUUUUUACAGUAGUGGGUGAUUAUGGUGGAUGAUUAACUCCUUGGUAACAUUGAGGAGUUACACCACUUCAGCUGUCACUGUGGUGUUGUCUAUUGCAGUUCUAAUAGUCAUGCAGCAAGGCCUUUUUCCCUAAUGAGAGCUGACUCAACCAUGCAUGGGUUUUGAACAUGUCAGUGAUGUAACUGGACUUCUUUCAAAAGAGCAAACCCAUGGUCGGAGCAUUAUUAAGACACUCCCUGAUUCUUUCUUCUAAAUCGGGUUGUUUUACCUCUUACUGGUUGCAAGUCUUGAUUAACAGAUAUAUAGAGCAAUGUAGUGUAAGAUAGUUUUACCGUUUUCCAGCCCUUUGUUUUAUCACUUGUUACUGGGAAAUGAAUUACAAUAUAUGUAUUGCUUUUUCACUUGUUACUGGGAAAUGAAUUACUGUACAAUAUAUGUUUGAUACUA